rnacentral:rRNA from 1 species
GCGAAGCAGUUUUAAGGAAGUUUUCGGAUGGAAUUAAAACUGACUGAGCGGCGGACGGGUGAGUAACGCGUGGGUAACCUGCCUCAUACAGGGGGAUAACAGUUGGAAACGACUGCUAAUACCGCAUAAGCGCACAGUGCUGCAUAGCACAGUGUGAAAAACUCCGGUGGUAUGAGAUGGACCCGCGUCUGAUUAGGUAGUUGGUGGGGUAACGGCCCACCAAGCCGACGAUCAGUAGCCGACCUGAGAGGGUGACCGGCCACAUUGGGACUGAGACACGGCCCAAACUCCUACGGGAGGCAGCAGUGGGGAAUAUUGGACAAUGGGGGAAACCCUGAUCCAGCGACGCCGCGUGAGUGAAGAAGUGUUUCGGCAUGUAAAGCUCUAUCAGCAGGGAAGAAAAUGACGGUACCUGACUAAGAAGCCCCGGCUAACUACGUGCCAGCAGCCGCGGUAAUACGUAGGGGGCAAGCGUUAUCCGGAUUUACUGGGUGUAAAGG